rnacentral:rRNA from 1 species
CGGCGCACGGGUGAGUAACACGUGGAUAAUCUACCCUUUGGAUUGGAAUAACCUGUCGAAAGACGGGCUAAUGCCGAGUAAGCUCUCGGGAGCGUGAAGCUCUUGCGAGGAAAGAUGGCGCAAGCUAUCGCCGAUGGAUGAGUCUGCGUCCCAUUAGUUAGUUGGUGAGGUAACAGCUUACCAAGACGAUGAUGGGUACCUGGUCUGAGAGGAUGAUCAGGCACACUGGAACUGAAACACGGUCCAG